UGGGGACGAAAUUUGCGGCUAACAGGUUUCUUUUCUUUUGCCACCCGGUAAGUGCUCGUGCAAUCCUCCUCUUCCCCUUCCUCGGCGACCUGAACCACAGGCGUGCCCUCCCGUAGCUGGAGAGCCUUUGCUGCCCUAGCACGUCUGCACGCGAGCAGCGGUUCCACGAGCAGCAUCGACGGUGCGGGAGCUGCGCGGAAGCAAGCAGCGGUCGCACGCCCGGGCCCUGCAGAUCUCACCGAGUGCCACGGGCGGCAUCACAUCUCGUGCUGUUCCUGCGUCACUGCAAUUCGCGUGUUGGCCGUGACCGGAGCUUUGCCGUUGCGGGGGCGGGGUGGUGCCCGCGAGGUGUUCGGGACAUUGUACGAGUCGAGCAGAGCAGAUCUGCUGCACGGAUAGCAAGAAUGGUUAAUAUUGCACUUAUACUCUACCUUCGAAAUAUUCUCUAAAGUAAGGAGGCCUGCCUAAAUGGACCAAUGUGAGUGAUGGAUGACUUGGAUUUAAAAUAUAACCAACAGUUCUGGAUUAAAGCUAUGGACUAUAGAGUAACAGAUAGUAGCGCAAUCUCCUUUGACACCAGACACCUACUUGGUUUAUGCUUAAGUUCCAUGACAUCUCCCUUGUCUCAAUGGCAGGGUCUGCUAAGAGAACACCAAUUUUGUUGUCUCAGUGGCAGGCACUUAUGCCUUAUUAGUUUGUUGCACCUGUGAUGGAUCCCAGAUGGUGUAUCUGCCACCAAUGUUUGCUGUUACCUGAUUUGCUUAUGC